CGACCCUGGAUUUUUCGCUAGCUUUAAUUCAUGUGUUUGUGUUUCGGCUUGAUCGAACCCAUCUAAAAUCUAGUUUUUCUGUCUAAUUCAUGUUCCAAUGUAUUUUUUUUAUGUCGAUUCGAAUCCAUGUUCGGAAUCUUUUUUUGUGUGAAUAUGUGAUUAUUUCGUUAUUCUAACCCUGGAUUGUACAUAGUUGGUCAAAUCUAACCCUGGCAAGAUGAAUGGCUCGCUGAGUAGAAGGUGUUGGCAUGUCACCUGACUUCAGGAACUUCCUAUGUAUGCCCAAACCUUGAGCCGCCCAAACCUCGAGCCAUAGUCACCUGGAUCUUCUACUGGUCUCUUUUCUUUCUCUUUUGAUUAGGUUCGGCCAACUCUAGUAGAGUAGUAGGCCUUAUCCAUCCAUGACACAGGCUCUUUUCUCUUGCGGAAAUAAGGUUUCUCCACACAUGAUCAACCGACAUAUCUAUGUACCACGCUCAAGGAUGAAUUAGGAUCGCCAUACCAGACGUUUUAUAUGUUUGUACUUUGUUUUUGUUUAGUUUUGCUGUCUAUUCAAUGUGGCACCAUGAUUACGAACUGGUCAAACACUCUUACUUCAUUCCCAAAGAUGAAGCCUGGGCUCGAUGGUCGAUGUUUGGAUCGAUGCACAUUGGUUUCCUUGUUCCUUUUUUUUGUUAGUAAUUUAAAAGGAUGCAUAGUGCCACUUGACUACCAUGAGUAGCACUUGAAAACAUGACCUUCUUUAUGUGUUCAGAUGUAUCUCAAUUGUUUUCAUGGGAUAAACCUAUAACUGAUGACAUAAUUUAUCUGUUCACAUACUUGUAAUAAGGAAAAAAAGAACAAUUCGGACAAGGUUGAGUCAUACCAAUGGGACCAUACAACACCCAUGGAUGGUCCUGGUUAUUUUCUUGCCUUUUUUCGGGUUUGUUGUUUCUUUUCUCUUCUGUUCAUGUCAAUUCGUCACAGAGUCCCUCAAAUUCUCAUAAGCUAAUCUGGACCAGUCAAUCUGUCCAAUCAUGUCCAUGUUCCUCGUGUACAUGGCUGCCUUCUCAUUGAGGUGCUGCUAGUGCAUGGCAGUAUAUACGAGCUUAUUACUACCAUAAAGAAGCAUAUGAGUUUAAGCUCGCGGUCUUCUUCCAUUUUUAAGGUUUUCAACAAAUUGCAAAAUGACAAUUUCUCUCAUUUUUUCAUCAUCUUUGCCAGCCUUCCCUCCCUUCCCAGUAUUCCCACCAACUUGUGCUUCCUUGGCAGCCAAUUGGUUAGUGUCAUUGCUGCUAUCAUUGUCUUUUUGAAUGUCAUCCUGCUUCUUCUUUUUUGUCAUUUUCAGCCGGUCUGAGUAUAUUGCGCAGCUCAUUGUAUUCUUUAUUUCUUUCCUUCAUGCUGAACGCUGCAGGAAUUACUCUAGCGUUGACUGGGAGACCCAAAACUUUAUGAACAACUCAUGGCGUGAUCCUCAGGUGUAUUCAGGACGUCCUCCUAACUACAUCUUGUGCCUGCAUUUUGCAUGGAUCCGGAGGUUGGGCGCGCCCUAUUUGCUUCAUUGUAGAUGAGCACAACUGCAGUUUUCUUCCGGUACAGCAAAACCAUUUCCUGUACUAAGGCAAACAAUAAGAAUUUCUGGGAUUUGUAAACAAUAAAAAUAAAAUAAAAAAUACAUCAAGCAAGCACUAACCUUAUCAUAACCAUAUAUUUCCUUUCUUUCAAAACCUUCAAUGUACAUCAGCACAUGGACCCCGCAAUGAAAGCCGCAAUAAUAGUUCAACAAUUAAAUUCCAUGUAGAUUGGUGAGCACAAAUCAUCUCGCAUUGCUUGCUAAAUUAGAUUAACGGUCAAUGACAAGCAGUUGGUAAGUCUCAGAAAAUGUGUGUAUAGUAUUGGCAUUUAUGAUUUGAUGAGCCCAAGCCACACCGGUCAGAAGACUGUGUAUCUCUGCUUGCUGAGCUUGACACAUUCAGCAACCAACGGGGCCAGCAAGUAAACAGGUCGAUGAUGAGGACUGACAUUGUCAUUCCAGACUCUAACGAAGCUCGGUGGGCUGCAUGAGAAGAACAUUCUACUUCUACCUGCACCAGAGUAGAUUUGAACCAAAGAUGCUGUUUUACAGGCAUGUUCUGGUGGUUGGGGCUGUUGGUACUGUAACCGUAAAGUUCUGGGAGCAGAAAAUACAGUCUGUAUAACAUAAGUAGGCGAGUAUCUAUGAUUGAAAUUGUAUAAAAUGGAUGCUAGCUUUUGAGUUGUAUAUAAUUUUGAUGGUGAGAAAUAGAGCCAUGUAGACAUAAUUGUAUGGUAAGAGAGACAGCACUAUCAUGAGUAACAAAUUCUAUGAUGAACUGUAGAUACUGUAGACCCUUUUCAAUUA